UCACACACAUGCCCAUGCCCACAUUCACACACACACACAUGGGCACACACACACUUGUGUGUGCAUCUGAGUUCAAAGUGGGGAAAUGACUUGGAAGACCUUUCUCCAAAACAGAUGCACGGAUCCCAAGGAGGACACAGAGAAGAUGCCCAGCAUCUCUGAUGUUGGGAACCAAUCAGGUCUCAGAGAGAACCCACUUGUUGGGAUGACAACUGUAAAAAUUAAAGCAUAACACGUGCUGGUGAGGAGGUGGGGAAUUUGGAGCCUCGGUUCUUGUGGAAAUGCAGAUGGCACCACUCCCCCUGGGAGCCAGGGUCCUCAGGUCAACGUGGGAUCACUGAAGGAGCCGGGGGUUCUUCUUCUGGAACUGAAAACUGGGACCCCGAUAGAUGUAUGUGCAUAGAGGCACUUUUCCCAACAGCCAAGGGGGGCGGGAGCAACCCAAGGCUGCCUCCUAAAACGUGUGCGUCAGCAACAUGCAUUCCAUCCGCAUUCUAGAAUUUUUUUAUGCCUUUAAGGUAGGAGGUUCUGGCACAUUCAACAACUGGAUGAGCCCUGGAGGUGUUAUGAUCAGAAAAGUGGGCCAGCAUCUCUAAAGGAUGAAUAUCGUACAAUCCCGCCCUCAGGAAGACCCAAGGGGCUAUCAGAUUCCCAGAGAGAAAGCAAACCAUGGGCACCCCCAGGGCUUGGAAGGGGCCUGGAGAGUAACUGUUUAACGGGGACAGCAUCUCAAUAUGGGAAGACAAGAAAGUUCUAGGGGUGGACAGUGGGGAUGGCCGUACAUCACCUACUUAAUGUGGCGGGGCUGCUUAGAAGAGGCCGGUGGCGACUUUUUGUGAAUGACCGGGAGAAAAGGGGCGGGAGAGGCAUCGGUGUAAAUGGUGUGGAAGGUGUGGUGCUGUGGGUUGCCAGGUGCAAAUCUGGGGUCCUGGCUGUGGUAAACUCUGCCAUCCCCAUGCUCACCAAGUGACAGUGUCACAGCCCAGCUCAGCCCAGUGUCAUCCCCCUUAGCUACAUGGACCUGUGGGCCCCAGCUCACCCUGUGGGUACUAGAUGGGCCCUGUCUGUCCCUGGAGGGUCACAUGCAGGCACCCCAGGAGCGUUUGGUAAUGAGCCUGCUCAGCCUGUCUCUGGACCCCAGUGGACUGGAUGCAGCUGUCUGUGCAGAUAAAAUUCCCAAGUGACCUUCUUGAUACCUCCCGCUUGGUCCCCAGGAGCUUGUGAACUGGGUUGCUCUGGGCAGGAAGAUUCCGUGGCUGGCACAGGAGAAGCCAGGAGGCCAUUGUCGAGAAGAGGCCAGUACCACAGCCCUGAAGCUGACACAGGAAUGGUACUCCAAGCAUCUGCUCCAUCCAGGGUCUGGGCCGAGGACAGGGAAGAUGCUUGUACUCCCCAGGAUAGGAGCAUCAUUCCAGACGCUUCUCGCACGUCCCAUGCUCUACCAGGGCUCCUUCACUCUUCCUCAGAAGGUUGAGGCUACUUCCUGUCAUUUGGUGUCAUGCACAAAGCUAGCUCUGCUGUGAUAAGACUGCCUUGCUGCCUCUGCCUUUUUGCUGGGGAAUGCAGACCAAGUACACGGGGGUUCGGCCACGACUCACCGAGGAAAGAGUAAACAGGCCAUGCACUUUCCGUGGAGACUCGGGACUCAUUCCCCACGUCUGUGUUUCCCCCCGUGUGACCCGGGCCACAGACACGGGCACAAAGACAUGCUCCACGGAUGCUUGACUGCCUCCUAAAGCGAGAACCGCACGCAGCCUUGUUAGCAGACUUCCUUUGCAAGCUUGUUUGUAAGAGACAGAAAGGGGGAAGGCUGGCUUUCAACAUCUCCCAUCCCCAGAGAUGUGCAAAUAUUUUAGCAACAUCCCAAUGACUAAACAGUGAUUCAGCCAAGAUGCCAGAAUAAAUAGAAUUAUCUAUUCUUAACUAUGCUCCCUUCUUACUAAGAUAUUACAGGCUAUACUUAUUCCUGGAACGAUGCCCUUUCCCUGGGCUUUGGAACGACAAUGUAAGCUACCUCCAUUGCCGGAGUGCUAGCCCGUGAGGUCACACCUUCACGCCUCUGCCUAGACGGAAGAGUGAGGGCCAAUAGGUCAACCGUACAAGCCAGGCGUUUGGCUAGCGCCCCCUGCCCCCCACCUCCAGACUUGUCCAUCUUCACACCUUUCACGGCGUGAUGAACACAAACCGUGGACAUCGCUCAGCAGCAGAUGCUUUGGGGGGCCGCUGUGGAGGUGUCACCUCUCUAGAAGAGCAGCACCUAUGAUGCCACAGGCAGCUCAGUGUUUGUGAUGUACUAGGGGCUCCCGGGGGACUUAACCCCAUCCUAUGGAGUACCUACAUGAUCACUGGGGCUCCCGGGGAGCUUAACCCUGCCCUGCUGAGUACCUACAUUGUCACUAAGGUGUUUUAUUGAGUACCUAGGAGUUCAUGUGCAUAUGUUGCUUUGAAAUGAAUCCAGUGGCCACCAUCUAGCUUUCCUCUGGCCCUACUCCCAUGGACUAGCUUAGUCUUGACUAGAGAUGGGUCAAGCAACCCUUCCCUGACCUUGGCUAGAAAGCCCACCACAUGACACCUUGGAACUAAACGGAGACUACAUUGGUAAAUAUGACAGCCCUUACCUAUGCCUGUGGAGCCAACCGAGUCUUGUUGUGUUGGGCACAAGGGCCACUGGGACAGAUGGACUAGCGUGGGUGUGAUUAUCCAUCCCAGUGAUGUGAACCUUAUCUGGGCUCACACGCAAAAUCUCAGGAGAUCCGACUUUAAACAUAAGGUUUCAAAUCUCCCCCCUCAGAAACGACGAGGUCGCCCAAGAUUCGGAGGGCGCUUGAAAGCAAGGAGUUGGAGUCAAGUGUGAGACGUCGGAUGGCUCUCACAUACUUUCAACUGCAGACCUGACCUAACUCCUGGGCUGGAUCCCGAGCUCAGGGAUGUGUGGGGGAGAUGCACAGCAUUGUUCAAGAAAGAAUUGUGCUCAACUGCUCACCCUGCAAAGUACGUGCAGAGCAUUUUCUCAGUGACUAGCUGCUCCCAAGGGCUGAGGGGACAUUGGGACAGUGCAUCGUACGAUUUCGGUGCUUGGAGUCUUUUGUAGCAUGGGAAGUGUGCCUGUGACAUCAUGAAGCUGUCUCUGAAGGAGCUCUCCUGCAUCUCCCUAACCCUCUCUGGCUUUCUAGCUUGUGGCUCACCGGGUGGGUCUCCAAAGGGGAACUCGGGUGGCCAUUGUGGACCCUUGAGUCCUAAGUCACAAGCGUACACUGUAGGAAUCAUCUGCAUGUUCCAGUCCUGCCUGGGUGGAUCCCAACUCUGCGUCCCAGCGUGCGUGAAUGCUAGGUUGUCUCUGAGAGGUAGCAGGUCACAGAGCAGCACCCGUUAUGGAACGGGUCCUUGUUGACCCUGACACCUCCUUUCCUGAAGCUGUUCAGAGGAAGGCAAAGGUGUUCCUCAGUGAGUUCAGUGAGUUCCAAGCUAAGCCAGAAGGCCUGUGGGUCUCACUCUGUUCAUGUAAAAAACACCUAGUGGGAGUUAUGGAUUAGAUCGAUCUCUCUUCUCUCUCUCUCUCUCUCUCUCUCUCUCUCUCUCUCUCUCUCUCUCUCUCUCUCUCUCUCUCUCUCACACACACACACACACACCACACCCUGCCAAUCCAUAUACUGAAGCCACGACGCACAACUUAUAAAGCCUUUAAAGGUUCAAUGAGGGAAAAUAUAAGCCCUGCUGACAAUAUACUAUUGAUGUCUUCAUAAAAUAUAUGAGAUACCAGAGAUGGAGAAAUACAGAGGGGGGACUGUGGGGACACAGUAAGAAGGUGGGAUCCACAAACUAAGAAUAGAGGCCUCCGGAGAGCCAACUCUGUGACUCCUGAAUUAGGGACUUUGGUGGGUGUAUGCAUGAAGGUUUUGAGCCCCUGUGUGAGGACUUGCCGCCACCUGGGUGAUCCAUAGGCUGCGUGAGACGAUAGGUGACUUGGAAUACCGCAUCAAUGGGGAAGACGACCAUGACCUCUCGACCAGCUAGCUCCUGGGGCCUUGCUUACGAGCAGGAUGCUGCGUGCCCAUUUUAUGUGUGGUUCCGUUCAUUCCGGGAGAAGACAACUGGAGCAGGGCGUAAGUGGCCAGGGACAGCAGGAAGCCCCUGCCUUGAAGCCAGGUAAUAGUUUCCCUCUACAGACGUGCCCCUCCUGGUGUUAUGACUUGACAUCUGUAAAGGGUAGAAUAUGUUUGUUUCCAGCCAGUGCCCUUUGUAGAGGCUCCAUGAUAUUCCCGGGGGGCAGUUGUAUCUCCUUAGCCGGGAAAAGCCUGUAGCAGGGUCACCCCAGCACCAUGGACGAAUAUGAUCAGCCAAGUUCUUGGGUCAGCUGCAUUUAUUUCGUGUGCCUAUUGAAAAGUUGACUUGACAACUACCUUGUGAAAAGACUUUGUACACAUUAUGAGCGGCCCACCGCCUUCACCUAAGCAUAUCCACUUCUCCAGACAGCCUGGCCAGGCACUCCUGUGGAGGGCUGUCGCCCUGUAGCCAGACAGUGGUGAGACAGGAGGCCAAUGUAAUAUGGAAUAUAAUAUAUUUAUUUACAUACAAGCUGGGGGGGACAGAAAGCGUGGCAGGCUUCCAGAGGAAAAGAGAGCGAGAGAAUCCUUUUUCUUUCCUUAAAUAGCCCACCUGUCUAAUCUUCAUAUCUCCGCCCCUUUUGGGCACAUAGCUUUGUAGGCUCACCCCUACACACUGGUGUCGCAUGAGCUGUCCCCAAUAUGGCCAUGUGUGUUGAGAAUCAUCCACGGACAACCUGGAUGCCUUCCAUGGCACCUCAGGCAGGCUUGACUCCAUGCGGGGUCAAGGGACCCGUGCAUCCCCGGGCAUGAUUCUGGGCACACAUGUCAAGUGAGCCGUGCACAUAAGGGGGUCCCUUGAAGGACAACCUUGUAGCCUGGUGGAACCUGGCUUGAUGUCCUGUCUCAGGGACGUGGAGGGGCUGGCCUUCCGGCUAGGACCAGUUCUUUUACAUCUCCACGCCUGAGACUUAGGAACCACGUAUAGAAGAAUAUAAUAGUUGAUACUGAUUGUCCACUGGACGGGGCCUAGGAUCAUACAGGAGACAGAGCUGUAGCGCAUCUGUGAGGGACUGUUUACAUUAGGUCAAUCCAGGUUGGAAGACACACCUUAAUUGCAGGCCAUGCCAUUCCACGGGUUGGGGGCCUGGACUGAAUGUAAAGGAGGAGAGACUAGCAUCCAUUUUUUUCCUGCUUCCUGGCUGCUGAUUGGAUGUGACCAGCUGUACUCUCUGCUUCCUGACUUCCUGGUGGUGAUGGGCUGUACUCUCUGCUUCCUGACUUCCUGGUGGUGAUGGGCUGUACCCUCUGCUGCCUGUUUCCCCUCGAACUAUGAAGCAAAAUAAAACCCUUCCUUCCUU